UAAUCGGCAUUGACGAGAAGAGUAUGUUAUGUGCAAUGAUAAAGAGAGCCGGGGAUGGUGUAAUCCCGGUGCAGGAGCAUAGCAGAAGAACAUCUCAGAGCCGCCAGAGGAAAGCCUUGACUGGCAAGUAGACCUGGCCGGAACUCCCCGAUAACGGAGUCGGAUAUCGGCAUUACCUAUGCCUGUAUCUUAAAAAGUGAGCUCCAAUGGAGUUAAGCUGGGUGGUACCGCGGAAGAGCCUUCCUUUCGUCCCUGUA
rnacentral:ncRNA from 1 species